AUCUUCGGGGCAAGGUGAAAUCUCUGACCGGCAGUACAGCCUGCGAAGCGCUUGCAGCGCCUGAUGCGGUGAAAAUCCGCAGCCGACGGUAUAGUCCGGAUGAAAGAAGAU
rnacentral:ncRNA from 1 species